AUUGAACGCUGGCGGCAUGCCUUACACAUGCAAGUCGAACGGCAGCACGGGAGCAAUCCUGGUGGCGAGUGGCGAACGGGUGAGUAAUAUAUCGGAACGUGCCCAGUCGUGGGGAUAACGUAGCGAAAGCUACGCUAAUACCGCAUACGAUCUAUGGAUGAAAGCGGGGGAUCGCAAGACCUCGCGCGAUUGGAGCGGCCGAUAUCAGAUUAGGUAGUUGGUGAGGUAAAGGCUCACCAAGCCGACGAUCUGUAGCUGGUCUGAGAGGACGACCAGCCACACUGGGACUGAGACACGGCCCAGACUCCUACGGGAGGCAGCAGUGGGGAAUAUUGGACAAUGGGCGAAAGCCUGAUCCAGCAAUGCCGCGUGAGUGAUGAAGGC
rnacentral:rRNA from 1 species